rfam:Gossypium raimondii chromosome 9, whole genome shotgun sequence.
CACGUCAGCGCUUUUGCUGACGUGGACACAAAUCGCGCUUUAGAGGACGUGAUUUGUUGCCAUGUCAGCAAAGCGCGCUGACGUGG